UACAGAGGUCUCAAGCGUUGUUCGGAUUCAUUGGGCGUAAAGGGUGUGUAGGUGGCGCGCUAAGUCGGGUGUGAAAUUUCGGAGCUUAACUCCGAAACUGCAUUCGAUACUGGCGUGCUUGAGGACUGGAGAGGAGACUGGAAUUCAUGGUGAGCAGUGAAAUGCGUAGAGAUCAUGAGGAAGACCAGUGGCGAAGGCGGGUCUCUGGACAAGUUCCUGACACUGAGACACGAAGGCCAGGGGAGCAAACGGG
rnacentral:rRNA from 1 species